UUACAACAUUCAUGCAACAGCAUUACAUAAACACAGCCACCAGUUCGCCACACUUACAAUCUGUGAGGUCCGCAGUUCAUCCCAGCUUUCCGACAGAUACUCCAGCGUCCACUUCUCCGUAUCCAACGUCACCACCCGCGUAUCCGUCAUCUCUUCCCACAGCUCCACAAACUCCUCCACCCCCGCCACCCCCACGUCACGGGGACUCUUAAUGGGCAGCCUCACCCGAUAUUUCUGGAUUUCCGCCACACAGCCCUUGUUGGUCACCCGCGGGGGACUAGGCUUCUGCGAGCGCCGUCGCACCCGUCCCACUUCCAGCACGCGGCGAAUGCUCUUCCCUUCACACUCAAUGUCCACGACGGCGUACGUCGCCAGGGACCCCCCGGCCAGCAGGGUGGAGGGGUACCAGCACCAGGGAUCCGUCGGGGACAGGCGCAUCAAAGAUUCCACGGGGAGUCCCGUGUGGUAGGAUCCCGUGCGCUGCACCUGCCCCAGGAAGGCGGCGAAGAUGGUAUGCGAGAAGAUGAUAUGGGCGGUGAAGGGGAUGAAUUCCGCAUCGUGGCCGGGGUAGUGGAAAUCGACGAUGAAGCCCUGGUAGGGUAGCAGAUCGCGCACGAUACCGCGACGGAUGCGGCCGUGCUCUUCGUCGUCGAACACGUCGAUCGCGCACCAGCGCUUCACGGCCCUCGCGCCCAUCAAGCUAAUAGUAGCAUAAUUUAUGGUUUAAAUUAUUAAUUUAUAACAUAGAAAAAAUGCAUAAGAUAAGUGUAAUAAGUCAUGGAAAAACAGCUGACAAGAAGUGGAAAAAGUAUUUUGGAAAGCAGCUGCAAAAGCUUGCUCGUUGCACGUUGCACUGUUUACACUUUACAGCUUACGCUGGCUGAAAUCUAGGGUUGCCUGGCAGUUGACAUUGACAAUGUGGCCAGGGAAAAGCCAAGUAACGCACAGCGCGAGGCGAUGGUGUCCUACGAGGCUAAUGCUUGGCCUCGUGUGCCGCAUUGCUGUACCGCUACGUUUAAAAAUCUUCUUUCAGACUUCCUUUUCGGAUCAUUCGUUUAAGAAUUUUCCGGCAGGCGGUGGGGUUGCCACUGCGACAGAGAGUGUUUAGCACCCGAGACCAUAUGGCUCUGUUGUGUAGAAUUUGUAAGGGUAGUCUUUUUUGUAGAAGCAGUAGUUUAGCCAUAUGUGUCCUGUCAAGGACGAUUUUCGGGUUGGGUGUUUCGAUAUAAAUGAGGCCGCUUUUAAAGUUCUCUGACGAAAUGAUUUUGGAUUGGAAGUUAUCGGAUGGGGAGGUAGGUAUUUGCUGGUGAUCGGUGGUUUUGUGAAGUAUAGUGUAAUGUGGGUAUAUAAAAGGAAAUCGGAGUGCGGUGGAAAUUUAGUUGGUUAAGGGAAGUUGUGAGAAGUUUGUUGUCUGGAUUGUGUUGUAAGAUCUUAUUUGAUAGUUUGAUAGUAAAGGUUGUUGUAGUAAGGUGGAGAGUGAUUUGGAGUGCCUGGGAAGAGGUGUUUGAAGGGAAUUUGGCAGAUCUGUGACAAACUGUCAAAAAAAGUUGGAAAUGAGUGAUUUGGAUAGGCGGAAGUUAAAAUGAAAUUAUCUUAAGGUAUAGUGAGUUGAUUAAUAGGGUGGUAGAAAUAAUAUUUAUGUUAAUAAAUGAUGAAAGAUAUUAUGUAAGAAAAGGAAAAUAAGGAAUAUAUGAAGGAAAAUAUAAAAUAUAUUACGGAAAAUAUGGAAAAGGAUAUUGUGGUUAAAUAUAGAAAGAAUAAGUGGCAUUAUUGGAAAUUUAUUUGGCAUUAUGGAGCUAUGUUGUGCAGAUAUUGUAGUUGAUAAAAUCAAAUUGAAGAAACAGGUGGAUGUAGUGUUCCGUAUGGUUUAUUGUAUAGUAUAUGGUGCGUAUAAUGUGCUGUAAAGUUGACUGGUUUUAUGGUUUGAAUCUGGGUAUAUUAUGGAGUAAAUAUAGUUACGGAUGAAUGAUUAUUUGUGUGGGAAUAAGAUAUUUUGAAGAAACAGGUGGGUGUAACGAUCCGUAUGAUGUGAAGUCUGUUGUAUUUAGGGAUUUUUAUUUUACUAAAGCUGGUAAAUAUUUUGAAGAAUCAGGUGGGUGUAAUGUUCCGUAUCAUUCAGUAUUUUAGGGUAUUUUGAUCCGUUUUGAGAUUGGCAAGUGAAGCUGGAGUUAUGAGAGACAGGUGGGUGCAAUGUUCCGUUUAGAGGUUUACAAAUGUUUUUUAUUGUAGAUUAAAAUCGGAAAAAUUUGGAGAACAUGAUUUUCAUUCCGAUUUUUGUUCAGGUUGUUUGGUUGUAUGUUGGAGUUGUUUUUGUAUACAUGCCAUUUCAGGUGUAUGGUCAUUAUUGGUAAGAGUUUUAUUUUAAUUUGAUUGUGCAAAAAUUUUUAUUUGCUGGUUUUUUAUGGUAUUGAAAGGAAAGUGGGGGACAAGAAUUUGGUUGCAAAUCGUUGACGACAGUGGUGUUGUGGAUGUUGUGGGAUAUAAUCAAAUUCAACAGCAAUUAUUUGGACAUUCAGCUGCUGCGCAUCAAAGCGGAUUGAUUGGGAUUCACGAUUUCUCAGCUAUGAAUAACAAAAGUUAUAAUUUUUAAUUUUUAUAAAAUAUUCAUAUAGGGUCGGAGCAAAGAAACAAUCAGCAUAACGUAUAUGGAAGAAAAAAAGCCAGACGAAAUUCCAGGAAGUGCUAUGGAUAUUGUUGUCACUGACGACAAUACAACCGUACUGCAGCUUGAAUCCAGCAAACGAUCUUUUGGAACUCCGAAGAAACGAAAUAAAUGAAUGGAAUAGCAUGAACCGUUGCUUUUACUUUGAGAUGGACCAAUCGUUUCCAUUUUUAUUGUUGUUAUUUGAGCGAUUCAUCAAUUUAUUACCGCUAUUAUACCAUUUUUUCUAAGUGCAUUAUAGUUAUCUGUGGUAUUAUUAUCUGACAGUGGUGGUGCGGUAUUAUUAUCUAUGUGAUGUAGUUAUGUUGAAUUACUCGUUUAAUACUUGAAAAGUUUGUAUCUUAGUAUUUUGUUAUUUUGUAUUGGUUUUGUAGUAAUUAACUUUUAAAGUCACCAAUAAAUAAAGGACGAAAUAAAUAAGGCAA